rnacentral:rRNA from 1 species
AGGAUGAACGCUGGCGGUCUGCUUAACACAUGCAAGUCGAACGGAGUAGAAAUACUUAGUGGCGGACGGGUGAGUAACGCGUGAGAAUCUACCUUCAGGACGGAGACAACAGUUGGAAACGACUGCUAACCCCCGAUGUACUGAAAAGGCAAAUAUUUAUAGCCUGAAGAAGAGCUCGCGUCCGAUUAGCUAGUUGGAGAGGUAAAAGCUCACCAAGGCGACGAUCGGUAGCUGGUCUGAGAGGACGAUCAGCCACACUGGGACUGAGACACGGCCCAGACUCCUACGGGAGGCAGCAGUGGGGAAUUUCCGCAAUGGGCGAAAGCCUGACGGAGCAAGACCGCGUGGGGGAAGAAGGCUCUUGGGUUGUAAACCUCUUUCAGGAGGGACGAAGCUCCUCGGGUUAAUAGCCCAGAGGGUGACGGUACCUCCGAGAAGAAGCCCCGGCUAACUACGUGCCAGCAGCCGC